UACGUAGGGGGCAAGCGUUGUCCGGAUUUAUUGGGCGUAAAGAGCGUGUAGGCGGCCAAGCAGGUCAGCUGUGAAAACUCGAGGCUCAACCUCGAGACGUCGGUUGAAACCGCUUGGCUAGAGUCCGGAAGAGGAGAGUGGAAUUCCCGGUGUAGCGGUGAAAUGCGCAGAUAUCGGGAAGAACACCCGUGGCGAAGGCGGCUCUCUGGGACGGUACUGACGCUGAGACGCGAAAGCGUGGGGGGCGAACAGG
rnacentral:rRNA from 1 species